ACAUAAUGAAAAAAUAGUUUGGGAACAAACCUGUGCCCUCUCUGAGCGAUGAGGGAACAUCACGAAUGUAUCCGAAUAUUGAGAAACAGCCAUUCAGUAUGUUAGCGGAGACCUGUUCUUUCGAUCCCCAGCUCACCUGGGUCUCAAAACUGAGAUUACGCUCUGGGAAAGGACUGUAUCAUGCACGGGUACAUGCUGAAGCUGGGGAACCCGUUCCUGACUCAAUGGCAGCGUCGGUAUUUUUACCUCUUUCCGAACAGACUUGAAUGGAGAGGAGAGGGAGAGUCCCGGCAAAAUUUACUGACAAUGGAACAGAUUCUGUCUGUGGAAGAAACUCAGAUUAAAGACAAAAAGUGCAUUUUGUUGAGGAUAAAAGGAGGGAAGCAAUUUGUCUUGCAGUGUGAGAGCGACCCCGAGUUUGUGCAGUGGAAGAAGGAGCUGACCGAGACAUUUACGGAGGCUCAGCGACUCCUGCGCCGCGCCCCCAAGUUCCUCAACAAGUCCCGGUCCAGCGUGGUUGAGCUCUCGAAGCCUCCCCUCUGUCACAGGAACAGCAACGGCCUCUGACGCCCGGGACAGGAGGGUCCUGGGGAGACGGGGCCUCGAGGAAGCCCGUACCGGGGGUUUUCCGCCCUUGAGAGGGAGUCUUUUGGAGAAGUCCGGGGGUCAGAUGUUCGGUCCUCUUGUCCCUGGGGCCCUUCCACGGCUGGGAGGACCCAGGACGCCGAGGUGCUCCUAAUAGGAGCUGUGACCAUGGUCCGGCCCGGGCCGGCCUCCCUCCCCUUCUGAGUGCCUCCUGCACAUGACAUCUGUCCACUCUCAAACUACUGAAGAAAGAAACGAAAGUUCUUUCCCUUUCUUACACACUUGUUUGGGUAGACGUGAACCUAGAACUUGAAAUGAUUCCUCCUUAUAGCUUCAGUUUGUAUGUCUGAUAUCAAACAUAUCUUAGACUUGCCAAGAUGGAGUGCAGUGCUCUGUGGCGGCAGGUGCCGGAUGGCCCGAGCGCUGCCUUGUGUCCUCUGCUGGGCUCACACGUGUCCGCUCCGCACUCCAGGGGGACGGGAGGUCAGCACGCGUUUCCUCCGUGCACUGCAGCACCGACCGACUUCUUGAUGCCCCACGUGGCGAGCUGAAGAUGCUUUCUGAGACGCUUGCCCUUGGGCCCCUGCUGAGUGUGCGGCACCACCCAGGUACCCGCCUGCCUCCGACGGAACAGAGGGAGCGUGCCCUCAGAGGACUUGGGAGUCGCUCAUGAUGACGGCGUUCAACAGUGGACCAUUGGAAGGCUUCACAGGGAUUCCGAAGGACAGGCAGCAGGGUUUUAACUUUCAGGGCAACAGUGAUUUUCAAAAAUCUUCAAAUAAACAAAUCGCACGGACGCUUGGGGGUGAGUCUGUCUUGGGCUCCAACAAUAAGCAGUUAUAGGACAGGGUCAUUCUGGUUCCUUCUGCCUGCCCUCGGGACACAUAUCCAUAACGGGUGUGUAAAGGAAGGAAAGAAUUGCUCUGUUUCACGUUGUAGUAUGAUUUAAAAUGAAUUUUACUGACAAAAGAAUGCUGAAGAAUGAAUGUGUUGAAAUGAGUUAACUGUGUUUGUUGACUUCCGUGUCAUCCUUCACCCGUCAUUAGUGAGUGGUACUUGGCCCUGGGUGGGUCGUCCCACGCUGUGACAGCAGUGGGGCGGGAAGGCCUGUUGCCUAAUCCCGGGGGCUUCUCUUCUCCCCACGGUUCUCCCACGAUGCGUUCUGUGCCCUUUUCACGCCCCAAAUAAAUGCUGGGCUAUGCUGGGCUAUAUGAACCAGUGUGUUUCCCAGUAAAGUCCUGUCACCAGACUGAAAAUAAUAACAAUAAUUUUUAAAGUCCACAUAUUUGUCUUAUUCUUAGUGCAAUCUUGUUGUGUGUUUCUAAGUUAACUACUAACAAUAUAAAUAGCAUCAUCUUUAUCUGCAUCCUCCCCUCGAUAUUUUUACUGAUUCCAGAUUUCCAUGCACUGUGUUCAUUGGGAAAGUGAGUACUUCUUAAUGAAAUUAUAUUUUGAGAGUUUGGAAGAUGAUUACUGAGAGUUUUUUAUUUCAUAGGGGUCACUUUGGAGAAGAAAAGAAAUGUGGAGGUCCACUAUCCAUCUCAACUACUGGUUGGGGUUUAAAUCAGUGCGCAUGUUCUACUCUGCUCUUUCCAGUAGGGGAGGAUGGAGGCACUCUUUACAUGCCUUCCCUUUUAAGCCAGGAAUGUUGUUCACUUCUGUUUUUUUUAAAAAAAACCACUAGCAGCAGAAAGAUAGCUGUUCCUCCUAAAGGGUGAGCUGCCUCGCGGGUGUGGUUAAUGACCACUGUCACUGCUGUCCUCAGCCCCAUCGCAGGCUCCCAUCGCUGAGCAUUUACAGGUCGGGAAUUGCUGUGCCCCAAGCCUCUGCCGGACAGAGCCAAGACCCUCCUGUUGAGAAGGACGCAGACUCCUUCAGGGUCUGAGCUUAGCCUCUCCCAUUUCCCACCCAGGGCAUUAGCCACGCCAACCCGCAGCUCUUUGAAAGAUACCAUCUUUGGAGUAGAACCGGAGGUUAAUCUGUCCUUUAGAAAGGAAACAGGAAUUGGGAAAUACCCUGAGAGCACUUUUGUCCCAAGCCUAAUUUCAAGCGCUGGGGUCUCGUCCGGCGAGUUUGCUACCUGCACUUGUCCCCGAAGCCAUCUGAUAGGGCCAGCGUCUCCGCGACCACAUGGAAGACGCCUCCGGGACCCUUCUGUGCCAGCACCUCGUGCCUGCAAGGCCAAAGAAGGCCACUGUGCUAGAGAUCUGUUGCAGAAAGUUUUAAGGGUGUCACCUCGUUCCUAGAUGGUUGACCCUUCAACGUGUAGACCGUGAGAAAGGACAAAAUUCAGCACACGUUUUCUCACUUGAAGAAGAUAAAGUUGAUAUUAUUUUUAUAAAGUUAUAAUGUCUUGACUUCAUAAAUCAAGGGAAUUAAUAAAGCAAAGUCUAAAAAUAAAGAUGACUUUCAGCUGCACUACAACGUAUAUGGAAGAAAUGUAAAACUUCAGCCAAUCCAAGGUUAUUUUUCUAAGUGAAAAUAUUCUCUCCGGUGCAUUUGCCCUUUCAUGGCACUGGGAGUCGGCUUUUUCCCUUCUGCAUCGUGUUUAAGUAUGAUUUUUCAGCAAAACUUAUAGAAACCAGCUGUUUUACUGCUAAUGCACGUGUUGCGCUUCUCAUGCCUCUGAUUGGCCAAUCCACAGACAUGACAGUUUCAGAAUUUGUGUGGAAAUAGAGGGGCCAGAUGUGGAGGAAAGCAAGUGUCCCGCUCAGGAAAGCCCGCAACAACAACACACAACCAUCUGUUUAAAGCAAGACCUAGCUUGACGUGCGAUUUGAAAUAUGCCAUAUGGAUACCAGAAACAAUUGUUUUAAGGCCCUCACUGGCCAUUACAGAACAUCCUUUACCCAUCGACAGCGAGCUUUAACUCCAUGAAAAAGAUCAGAGGGUGGUCUUUUCUCUGAUGAUCUGAAAAAUUUCACUCGGAAUUUGUAGUUGGGCCAAUUCGAUACAGCAUCUGACUUGUCGAUGGAAUUGAUUUUUCACAUCAAGAAGAAAGACAGAUUCUCGAAGUCGGACCCUUUUUCACAUGAUGUAGAUCUAUGAAAGGUACUUUGAAAUGUGCUGGGAUAAGAGAAGACUGAUUCUGUAGGACUUAAUCAUACGUGAUUUUUUUUUCUCGGUGAUUUUGUUCAGGGAAGUGCUUCUGGGUCAUUCGGAGACACCUGAUGAAUUACCUCCUCGGCACGCCUGAGGACUGACGUUUGUGCCCAGAGAGGAGACGGGCUUCACUGGAGUCUGGGACAGGUGGUGGCUGGGGGGCCGUGGGCUGUAGGGCAGGUGGAGUGGGUGUCUCCCAGGCAAGAACAGUGGUAGAAAUGUGGCAAAGGAAGGAAGGCCUUAACUUGCGAGUAAAAAAAAAAAAAAAAAAAUCACUCCCUUUACACCAAGCACCAAGGAAAUGACUGAGUUAGGGUUGGUUGAUUCUUUCCCUCCUUACAACAGGAGUUGAAUAGUAAUGAUUGUGAGACAUGGUCACUUUAUUUUCAAUUAUGGAGCCACUGGACUUAGGAAUAGGCCAUCAGCUGUCCAUCACGGCCCUGCAUGCCCUCCAGCACCCUCCAGGAAGGCGCCCGGCACCCAGAGCUAACCCCCCAUCUGUGCGCGCCUCGCAGCCACUGGGAGGGCCAGGCGCGGGGGCUGGGUGGCCGCCUGCAGGGCCCUGUGUCUGCCACAGACCUUUGUCACACGUCCACUGGAACCACAAGAAGGCUCCCCAGAAUAGCAACACCCGGCGUGCUGUUUAAUCCAUGCCCACUUCCAGAGUGAGCUUUAAUAGUUGAAAUUUCGAAAAUGUUUUUCCCUAAAGAUCUAACAUGAUUUUCCCUCCCAUGAAAGGUUGACUCUAGAGAUCUGAAUUCAUCAAUUACUUAAAUUCAUACGAAUAUGAAUUUUUUUUUUCUUUUGACCCAGGCCACAUUUUAAAAAGAAUUCUUUUCCUGUUGAACUAAUGAAAGCCGAACUCUGGAAUAAUACGAUUCCCUCACAUUGUAAUGGGCUUGAGAUUUCUUUCACCCUCAAAAGACUAACAGACCUGGCCUUUUAUUGCCAAGGGACAGGGAUGCCCUCCCCGUGGUGCCGGAUGCCUGGCCACUCACGGACGCGGCCGGGGGAGCAUUGAUCGGUAAAUGCAGCACCCCGAAUGUUAAAUUACCUUUACUGAAACACACACAUACUCACUCCAGAAAAUGAGUUAACAGUACAUGCAUUUCAUGAAAAACUUAAGAAACAAAAGCUGUUUUAAAGUUUCAGCAACUCACAUUCUUACAGUAAACUCUCUUAAUACCACAAUCUCAAAAUUAUCUCUGAAAACUGGUAACUCUGCUUCCAUAUUUUAUUGUGUCUAAUAUAAAACGUCUUUCAUGUAAGGGUAGGGAAUGGAGAACUAUUUCUAACCAUGCACUCAUAAUUACAAAAGGACUUGAAAUUUAAUUCCCUGUGUCUCAGCUGAUUUGUGUCCCGUGAUGUAUAUAUUAUAUGUGGUUUAUAAGCUAAACACUGGCCACUUUUUAAGUUCUGUUGUGAAAUUGUAUUUUUCUAUGUUUUAACUAAUUACAAUAGAUUUGGCUUUUUCUGAGUAGCGUAAAGAUUGCCGAACUGCCUAUAUAUAUAUAUAUUAAAAAACAGAGUUCUAUUUUAGCACAAAAGCAUUUUAUAUUAUUUAUUGAAUCCUUAAUGUUUGUUUUCGUCAGAAACAUUCCUUCUUUCUGCUCCUUUUUAUUUGUAUAGUUUGUUAUUUAAAGAAACGGCAGCCCUUUCUGUGCUUCAUAAAAUGAAGUGGAAGUAACGCGCACAGCCACGCGGGGUGAACAUCCCCUCUUCACUGCCGUGGACUGUUUGCAACAAAAGCUUAUCCUCGGGUCUGUGCCGAGAGGCGUGUGUGCUUCCUGGGGACGUCUGACAGCGUGCCUGUCAUGAAAUACUGCUUUUCAUCUACCUCUUCAGAAGGCCUCCUGCUUGUUGACGGGUACCCCCAAAUGCUCGCUCCCAGACUGGCUGCAUUCUAAAAGAAUCUCAGUAACACGUUUCGGUGGGAUUCCCUCUUGAUGUCAGUUUUAAAGCCACGGUCCCGACUAAGCCAACAGGGCAGGUAGACAUCCCUCUGGAUCGUUCUCCCCCUGGAGCCGAGAGCCGCCCGCAGAGCAUCAUUUCCUACUCCGGUUGUGCCAAAUCCCCGCACUCCGUCUCGCCGUCGCCCCGAGAUUCGGCUGUUGCGCCUGAGGUAUCGAGUACUAAAUGGGAGGUCGGUCCUCAGCGCUGCUUACAGGGGGCCAGCCGUGUUUAAAAACCCCGCUUCCAGGCGGAGGGCCUUUGAACGUGACUUCCCGGCGCCCCCACCGCAUCGCUGUUGCAAAAUGGUUUGGAAGAUGGGGCCAUAAAGGCAAAUGCUCUCGUACGUGGUUAAACCUUUGCCAGAGGUCUUAACUUCCGAGCGGACGGACCCUGAAGUAUUCCCGUGAACCGGAUUGACCAGUCCCCUGGGAGAGGGGGUCCCUCCGCACGCUGACAUUUCUCUCUGCCUGUCUUCCUCGCUGGGUAGCCGUCGGUGUGGCCUCGUCUUCGCUAUACUCUUGGCCAAGCAUCACGCCCUUCAAGAAAUAAAUCCGUUUUCUAUUGUGCGUUGCCCAACAGGGUGAAGCGGGUGAAUUAGAUAUUGUAAAUCUAGAUAUUGUACUUAUGAAAUUAUCAUUUGUUUUGAUCUCGCUUCACGUUGAUUGUGCCAGUGGGGCUGUGUAGCCCUCUCUCAGUAUCCGCUUACUAGUGCACGUUUGAAGUCCUCGCCCACGGGAGACGCUGCUCCACGCCUGCGAUCACCCGCCCUGUGCGGGCACGAGCUGUCAUUUGGUAUCACCGUCUUACACAGCUCUUUUGGAGCAGCGAGGCUGGUUUCCUGUGUUGAUAAAUUGCUUAUAUAAAAAUCUCAAUAAAAAGGCUCUGUACAAAGAUUCCUA